rnacentral:lncRNA from 1 species
GCCACGGCAACGGGAGAGCCAGCGGCGAGGGGAAACGGGUUCCUCUUGUUCCUCAAUGAUUUUGUUCUGCCUUGGACGCGCAAGAGUAAAGUGACGCCUUAUCAGGAGGUCCUGGAGACCUCAGGUGGGUGUAUCUUCUUGAUCCACAUAUUAUUUCUUAUCUCCAACAGCAAACAACAGCUCCACCGGAUGAGACUGAUCUCAGGCAGCGCGGACGGACGGCGGCGAAGUAAUGAGCGAGCGGGGAAAGACCGAGUCCACGUUAGCGUCAAUCUCCUGGAAAUUGUAGCCGGCUCCCUCCAUCAU